CUACCUUCUUACUCUUUACAACCAUGUCGUCCACAUAGGCCUCGAUGUUCUUCCCUAUCAAAUUGGCGAAGACUUUGUUGAUGAGCCUCUGAUAUGUUGCCCCAGCAUUUUUCAACCCAAAUGGCAUCACCCUAUAGCAAUAUAUGGCUAAAUCAGCCAUGAAUGAAGUCUUCUCUUGGUCUUCUUUGGCUAUGAGGAUUUGAU
rnacentral:lncRNA from 1 species